CCCCUUAAGUGUCACGUUGGUUUGUCACCAAUGUGGAGGCGAACACUCACCUUCCCCCUCGUGGGAGUUUUGCAGAGUGAGGACCGGAGUGCAGUGGCCCCUUCUUCCGGCCCUGGCGUGACCACUCUGUUUGGUUGUCCUUACCCUAGCCACUUGUGGGCCAAGGAGACUACUGCGUCCCAAGGCCAGCGAUCUGUCUCAGGUUCCAUGGGAGCGGGGCCCCCCAUGAUGACAAGUGGGGUGUUGGGCUCUGGUAGCCCUCAAAAACGCAUACGGCUGAUAGCUCGGCCAUCGUACGGUGAUCUCGCCGUGCAGGAACAACGGCCUAUGGGAUUAGACUAAUCAAAGCCCAAACCCAGUGGAAGCGAGCACUCGGGCGUGCUGUCAUCCCAGACGUCUACCGCCACCCUCGUGCGCGAAUCGGGGGACCCAGGUGAUUCUAGCGAUGCGGAGUACGUGGUUCAUCUGCCUGAUCUGGAACCCUGUAGAAUGUGUGGAACACAGGUCACCGUUCUUCCCUGGGUCCCGACGGCGCUGUCGCUUCUACUUGGUUGGGACCCCAAGGGGGAGAAGCUGGCAUGUAUGUUCUCCACAUGGCUGGUUUCAGGGACUCUGUCAAGAGUCUUCAAGAAAUGCAGAACAGUACUCAUACCUAAGACCACUGACCCGGGCCGCCUCGGGGACGUCAACCAGUGGCGUCCAAUCACUAUUGGGUCUAUGGUCUUGAGACUAUCCUGACGGGUAGGAUGACGUCGGUGUGCCCUAUCCAUCCGUGACAGAGGGGCUUUAUAGCCUCACCUGGCUGCUUGGAAAACCUAUCAAUCCUGAAGGGGAUAAUGAGGUGGAGCAAGACAGAAAGGUCCUCCCAUGGGGUUGUAUUUGUUGAUUUCGCGAAGGCUUUCGAUACAGUUUCGCAUGAGCAUCUCCUGAGUGCUCUGGAACGGAAAGGGUUAGACCAACACAUGCUGGAAUUGGUCAGGAAGUCAUGAGAACUGCAUGACUAAGGUGCCAGGCGCAGAAGGGUUCACUGCUGACAUCGCCAUGAAGAUGGGAGUGAAGCAGGGUAACUCCAUAUCACCUCUCCUCUUCAACAUUGCCUUGGAUCCACUGGUCCAGGCACUCGAACGCGACGGCCGUGGAUUUGUUGGGAAGGGGAGAUCCAUUCCGGCUUUGGCAUUUGCGGAUGACCUGGUCUUGUUGAGCAGCUCCUGGGAGGGUAUGGUGGCCAACAUUGGUAUCCUGGAGGCCUUCUGCGUACUUACUGGGAUGAGCGCUCAGCCAUAGCUGCCAUCGGAGGGACACCCCUCAUGUGAGAUGGCAAAGGCCCUGAUAAAGGCUUUCCCUGUAAUUCCUGAAAUUGACUUCAACACAUUGAAAAAAGAAAUGGAGAAGGAGAGGAGAGAUCUGGCUGUUGACGUUCUAGGGGCCUCUGUCUUUGAUGAACAAAAUUAUUGCGCUAUGUGUGCCACCUUUAAGCCACCAGGACCAGGAACUGCCAUUAUAUAAUGGGUG